rnacentral:rRNA from 1 species
GCAUAUCAAUAAGCGGAGGAAAAGAAACCAACCGGGAUUGCCUCAGUAACGGCGAGUGAAGCGGCAAGAGCUCAAAUUUGAAAUCUGGCCCCUCCGGGGUCCGAGUUGUAAUUUGUAGAGGAUGCUUCGGGUGCGGCCCCCGUCUAAGUGCCCUGGAACGGGCCAUCGGAGAGGGUGAGAAUCCCGUCUGGGACGGGGUGUCCGCGUCCAUGUGAAGCUCCUUCGACGAGUCGAGUUGUUUGGGAAUGCAGCUCUAAAUGGGUGGUAAAUUUCAUCUAAAGCUAAAUACUGGCCGGAGACCGAUAGCGCACAAGUAGAGUGAUCGAAAGAUGAAAAGCACUUUGAAAAGAGAGUUAAACAGCACGUGAAAUUGUUGAAAGGGAAGCGCUUGCGACCAGACUCGCUUCCGGGGUUCAGCCGGCUUUCGGGCCGGUGUACUUCCCCGGGGGCGGGCCAGCGUCGGUUUGGGCGGCCGGUCAAAGGCCCCUGGAAUGUAACGCCUCUCGGGGCGCCUUAUAGCCAGGGGUGUCAUGCGGCCAGCCUGGACCGAGGAACGCGCUUCGGCACGGACGCUGGCAUAAUGGUCGUAAACGACCCGUCUUGAAACACGGACC